GGAAGUGUUUUUUGAGUGGAAAAGACAUCUUUGAACUCAUGGAGUAGUUCUUGGAUGGAUGGCUGUAUUUUCUGUUUGGUGUAUGCCUCCAUUAUCUUCACUACUGCACAGGCCCAAAUGUUGUUGCCCUGAGCCCAUUUCACCAAUUGAUUGGCAGACAUUUCUUGCAGAGCUAAUUCUCUCGGUGUGAGCACCCCUUGAAUCUUCACUGGUUUCCCAUUUUCUUCA
rnacentral:lncRNA from 1 species